rnacentral:rRNA from 1 species
GAUGAACGCUGGCGGCGUGCCUAAUACAUGCAAGUCGAGCGAACAGACGAGGAUCUUGCUCCUCUGACGUUAGCGGCGGACGGGUGAGUAACACGUGGAUAACCUACCUAUAAGACUGGGAUAACUUCGGGAAACCGGAGCUAAUACCGGAUAAUAUAUUGAACCGCAUGGUUCAAUAGUGAAAGACGGUUUUGCUGUCACUUAUAGAUGGAUCCGCGCCGCAUUAGCUAGUUGGUAAGGUAACGGCUUACCAAGGCAACGAUGCGUAGCCGACCUGAGAGGGUGAUCGGCCACACUGGAACUGAGACACGGUCCAGACUCCUACGGGAGGCAGCAGUAGGGAAUCUUCCGCAAUGGGCGAAAGCCUGACGGAGCAACGCCGCGUGAGUGAUGAAGGUCUUCGGAUCGUAAAACUCUGUUAUUAGGGAAGAACAAAUGUGUAAGUAACUAUGCACGUCUUGACGGUACCUAAUCAGAAAGCCACGGCUAACUACGUG